UAAGCUAUUAAUUAAUAAAAAUCCAUAACAUGAGUCUAAAUAACAAGCGUGGAAAACAACACAAGCCCGACAUUGAGGUGUCACAAGUCACGAGUAUCUACUAAGGUCUGUCUAAAUACAAUAAAGACUAUCAUAGUCUGGAAAUAAAAUACUAAAAACAUUAUAAGGGAGAUAAGAGGGAGUUGAGCAAAGCUGGAAAAGCCAUGCAGCUACCUUGCUGACUCUGGCUAUCCGCGAUGGAUGAUGGAUCAGUGCUUGCUAUCAUGUCCCUAAACUCCUGGAUUUGCACACAAGGUGCAUGAAGUAAUGUGAGUACGACAACUCAGUAAGUGAUAAAAGUAAAUAAAAACUAAGCAGUAAGAAAACACAUAAAUCCACGUUAUAGCACCACAGUAAGUACAAUACAUUUCCAAAUCAGUGUAGGAAAAAACUAUCUUGUAAUAAUCCAAUAUCAGUAAAAUUCCUUUGAAAAAUGUCUUUUUAACAGUUUCAAUAGAGAUUCAAAGAAGUUUAGAAUAAAUAAUAAAACCAUAAAUAGCCCAUCGUGCGAGACAUGUAUCAUAAACCGUCCCUCGGGCAUAAUAUCAACAAAACCAGCCCUUCGGGCGACCUCACAAUCACUCAUAAUCCGCCCCUUGGGCAUAGCAUGAAUCAAGAAUAGCCACUAGGGCAACAUCAUAUCACUCACUCUGGGUACCCGUUCUUACCUUUAAAGACUCCGGAGGGGCUCCUACAGGCCAAGCGCUGUCACAAGCCAUCUUGUGGCAUAAUAAAUCAGGCUCUCAUCCUCUCAUAUAUCACAAAAUAGUACAACAUGUUGUGGUGAGCAAUCCGGUCCUAUGAUAUCCUCACAACACAGGCCCUCAGCGUUACUUAGUCACAAACCUUCCAAACCACUUAGGCUAACAGUAAAAUAGGGUGUUCAGCCCAAAAUAACAUUUAUACAACAAAUCAGAGUAAAUAAGGUUGAGCUAUGAAAUCAGUAAAAUAUGGCAUGACUGAGUAUAGAUAUUAAAUCAAAACAGUGAGGAAUAUUAGUAAAGAAAGCCCUUAAGGGUCUAAACAGUUGGCAUGAGGCCCAACUAUGGCAUUCAACCCAAAACAUAGUAAUACUAUCUAACAUAUAAUAGUAUCAAGUAGUUUUAGUCAAAUAUGCAACUUAAUAGCUAGGGGACGGACCAAGUCACAAUCCCAACGGUGCAUGCCCUCACGCUCGUCAUCUAGCAUGUGCGUCGCCUCAAAAUAGUGAGACGAAAUGAAUUCCGAGGUUUCAUACCCUCAGAACAACAUUUACAAUCAUUACUUACCUCGAACUAGAUGAAAAUCUACUCCACAAUGCCCUUGACUCUCUAUUUGGCCUCAAAUUGCCCCGAAUCUAUCCAAAAUCAGAAUCAUAUCAUCAAUACAUGGCAAAGGAACAAAGCCCACGCGAAAAUUAUCAAAUUUAAUAAAAAUUCCAGAAAGUGGCCAAACCCGGCUCCCGGGCCCAUGUCUUGGAAUUCGAUAAAAAUCACAACACUAGAAUCCUUAUCCCAUUACGAGUCUAUACAUACAAAAAUCACCAAAAUCGGACCUCAAUCCCAAUUUAAACUCUCCAAUUUCAAGCCCUAAUUCCACAAUUUCAUCCCUAAUGUUUCCAUAAAUUCCAUGAUUAAACAACGGGAAAUCAUCACACAUAUAAGUUUUAAGUCUCAAGUUACUCACCUUGAUGUUAAACCUUGAAUCCCUUCUCAAUUUCGCCCUCAAAAGCUUCAAAGCUGUCCAAAAAUGGUGAGAAAUAAGCUUAAAAUCACAAAGAUGGCCUUAUACUUUCUGCCCAGCGAUUCCCGCAUUUGCGCCCAAAAUUUGAACCUACGAAUUUCACUUAAGGAUUUAGAUGUCAUAACUGCGCCCCAAGCCUUGCACAUGCGGGCUCGCAGAUGCAGUCCAACCCUCCACUUCUGCGACCAAUGCUGCUUCUGCAAUCUCCUUUCCACUUCUGCGGCUCGCAUCUGCGGUCCCUAAUCCGCAGGUGUGGUUAUGACAAAAAACAACAUCUUCAGAUGCAACUCUAAUUUUUCCAACUUUUCGAUAAACUUUCGAAAUCAUCCCGAGGCACUCAGAACCUCAACUAAACCUACCAACAAGUUAUAUAUCAACAUUAAAACUUAUACCAACCUUCGGAACACUCAAAGUAACAUCGAAACACCAAAUCACCCUCAGAUUCAAGACUAAGGAUUUCAAAACUUCCGAAUUCCGCAAACGAUGUAAAAACCUAUCAAACCUCAUCUGAAUGACCUAAAGUUUUGCACACACAUCACAAAUGACAUAGCGGACCUACUCCAAUUUUCAAAAUUCCAUUUCAACCCCAAUAUCAAGAUUUCCACUGCUGACCGAAAAAUGCCAAAUUUCCAAUUUCGUCAAUUCAAGUCUAAAUCUACCAAGGACCUCCAGAAUACAUCCCGAACACAAUUAUAAGUCCAAAAUCACCUAACGAAGCUAUUCAAACCAUUUGAAUUCACAUCCGAGACCUUAUACUUAUAAGUCAACAUCCGGUUGACUUUUUCCAACUUAAGCUUAUAAAUAAGAGACUAAGUGUCUCAUUCCACUCCAAACCCAAACCAACCAACAUGAUACGAUAAAAUUCCGCUGAACAAUGCAUAAAGAGGCAGAAAUGGGGGAAAGUGGGGCUGUAACUCAUGAAACAACCGGUCGGGUCGUUACUCCUCCCCCUUUUAAACAAACGUUCAUCCUCGAACAAGUCAAAAAACAUACCUGAAGCCUCAAAUAGGUGUAGAUAUUUGCUCUACAUCUCCUGCUCGGUAUCCCAAGUAGACUCCUCUACGGGCCGACCUCUCACUGCACUUUCACUGAAGCUAUCUCCUUUGAUCUCAACUUUCAUACCUGCCACCCUAAAAUACCCAGUAGCUCCAUAUUAUAAGUAAAAUCACUGUCUAACUGAACCAUGCUGAAAUCCAACAUGAGAUGGAUCACCAAUGUACUUCUGGAGCAUAGAAACAUGAAAUACCGGAUGCACACUCGACAAACUAGGUGGCAAAGCAACCUCAUAAUCAACCUCCCCAAUCCUCUGAAGCACCUUAAAAGGCCCAAUGAACUGAUGACUUAAUUUGCCUUUCUUCUCAAAUCUCAUAAUACCCUUCAUGGGUGAAGCUUUCAGUAGAACCUUCCCCCAACCAUGUAAGACACUUCACCAACCUUCCUGUUAGCAUAACUCUUUUGUCUUGACUGUGCUAUACGAAGUCGCUCCUGAAUCGCUUUCACCUUGUGUCUAACGCAUUCUACACCAAGUUUGAACCCAAGAGCCUGGCUUCGCCCAACUCAAACCAACCUAUUGGAGAUCUACACCAUCUCCCAUAUAAAGCCCCAUAUGUAGCCAUUUGAAUACUAGACUGAUGACUGUUAUUAUAUGAAAACUCCGUGAGCAGUAGAAACUAAUCCCGUGAACCCCUAAAAUCAAUUACACAAGCAUGAAACAUGCCCUCUAAUAUCUGAAUAGUGUGGUUGGACUGUCCGUAUGUCUGACGAUGAAAAGCUAUGCUCAACUCAACCUGAGUACCCAACUCUCGCUGCACGGCUCACUCAAACUGCAACGUGAACUGAGUACCUCUAUUUGAAAUGAUGGAAUUGGAAACCCAUGCAGGAGAACAAUCUCUCGGAUAUAAAUCUCAGCUAACCGCUCUAAAGAAUAGGUAGUACACAUCGGAAUGAAGUGCACAGACUUGGUCAAUCAAUCCACAAUCACCCAAAUAGCUUCGAACUUCUUCAAAUUUUGUGGGAAUCCAACUAUAAAAUCUAUGGUGAUCCGCUCCCACUUCCACUCUGGAAUAUCCAUUUUCUAAAAUAAGACACCCGAUCUCUGAUGAUUAUAUUUCACCUACUGACAAUUGAGGCACCGAGCUACAAAUCCCAUUAUAUCUUUCUUCAUUCUCCUCCACCAAUAGUGUUGUCUCAAAUCCUGAUACAUCUUUGCGGCACCCGAAUGGAUAGAAUAUCGCGAGCUAUGGGCCUCGAACAGAAUCAACUCCCAAAGCCCAUAUACAUUGGGCACACAUAUCCGUCCUUGCAUCCUCAAUACCCCAUCAUUACCAAUAGUCACAUCUUUGGCAUCAUUGUGUUGAACUCUGUCCUUAAGGAUAAGCAAAUGAGGAUCAUCAAAUUGGCGCUCUCUGAUGCGAUCAAACAAGGAAGAUCGAGAAACUGUACAAGAUAAGAUCCGUUUGGACUCCAAAAUAUCCAAUCUCAUGAACCGAUUGGCUAAGUCCUGAACAUCAAUUGCAAGAGGACUCUCCCAACCAGGAAUAUAUGCCAAACUUCCCAUAUUCACCACAUUUCUACUCAAGGCAUCGCUAUUACAUUGGUCUUCCCUAGAUGGUACAAGAUAGUGAUAUCAUAAUCCUUUAGCAGCUCCAACCAUCUCCCUUGCCUCAAGUUGAGAUCCUUCUUCUUGAACAGGUGUUGGAGGAUACGAUGAUUAGUAAACACCUCACAAGACACACCAUAUAGAUAAUGCCUCCAAAUUUCAAUGUGUGAACAAUGGCAGCCAACUUCAAAUCAUGAACGUGGUAGUUCUUCUCAUGCUGCUUUAACUGACAUCGAAAUAUGCAAUUACUCUACCCUUUUGCAUCAACACAUACCUAAUACCAACCCUCGAAGCAUCCAAUACACUAUAUAUGAACCUGAAGCUGAUGGCAAAACUAACAUUAGAGUUGUGGUCAAGGCAGUCUUGAGCUGCUGAAAGCUUGCCUCAACUCAUCCGACCACCUAAAUGGAGCACCUUUUGGGUCAAUUUGGCCAAGGGUAAUGCAAUAGAUGAAAAUCCUUGAAUGAACCGAUGGUAAUAACCUGCCAAACUAAGAAAGUUGCGAAUCUCUGUGGCUGCAGAUGACCUGGGCCAACUCUGAACAACCUCUAUCUUCUUCAGAUCAACCUGAAUACCCUCAUUGGACACCACAUGACCCAAGACAGCCACUGAGCUAAGACAAAACUCACACUUGGAGAAUUUUGCAUAAAGUUUCUUAUUCCUCAACCGCUGCAAUACAACUCUUAAAUGCUUAGCGUGCUUCUCCUAACUAUGUGAAUACACCAAAAUAUCAUCAAUGAAUACAAUAAUGAACGAGUCGGGAUAAGGCCGAAACACGUUGUUCAUCAAAUACAUGAACGCUACUAGGGAAUUGGUCAUCCCAAAAGAUAUCACAAGGAGCUCAUAAUGACCAUAUCAUGUCCUGAAAGGUGUCUUACGAAUAUCUGAUUCCAUGAUCUUCAACUAGUGAUACCCUGACCUGAGAUCAAUCUUGGAGAACACCCUCACUCCUUGAAGCUGGUCAAAUACGUCACCAAUACGAGGCGAAUAAUACUUGUUAUUGAUUGUGACUUUGUUCAAUUGCCUGUAAUCAAUGCACAUCCUCAGCAUUCCAUCCUUCUUCCUCACGAACAGAAUUGCUGCACCCCAAAGCGACAUACUUGGCCGAAUAAAUCCCUUAUCAAGGAGUUCCUGAAGCUUCUCCUUCAACUCCUUCACCUCUAUUAGUGCCAUACGAUACAGUAGAAUAGAAAUGGGAUGAGUGCCCGACACCAAAUCAAUACCAGACAAUAUACCUAUCCGGUGGCAUGCCCGAUAGGUCUGCAGGAAACACAUCUAGAAAAUACCUCACUGUCGGGACUAGUAGGAGUCUCUGCACUAACAUCCCCCAUGAAGGCCAAAUAAGAUAGACAACCCUUCCUAGCCAACCGCUGAUCUUUCAAAAAUGAAAUCACCCUACUGGGAAUAAAAUCGGUGGAGCCUCGCCACUCAAUUCGUGGCACACCUAGCAUAGCCAACGUCACUGUCUUAACAUGACAAUCCAAAAUAGCACGACAAGGAGAUAACUAAUCCAUGCCCAAUAUUACAUCAAAAUCAUUUAUACAAAGCAACAGAAGGUCCACCCGAGUCUCCAAACUCCCAAUAAUCGCCAUACACGACCGAUAUACAUAGUCCAAAAUAAUAGUAUCGCCCACCGAAGUGGAUAUACAACCAAAUGAAAAAAUAGACUCACGGGCGUAUCCAAAUAGUAAGAAAAAUAUGAUGACAUAUAUAUAUAUAUAUAUCAAAAUAUCCAAUCUCAUGAACCGAUUGGCUAAGUCCUGAACAUCAAUUGCAAGAGGACUCUCCCAACCAGGAAUAUAUGCCAAACUUCCCAUAUUCACCACAUUUCUACUCAAGGCAUCGCUAUUACAUUGGUCUUCCCUAGAUGGUACAAGAUAGUGAUAUCAUAAUCCUUUAGCAGCUCCAACCAUCUCCCUUGCCUCAAGUUGAGAUCCUUCUUCUUGAACAGGUGUUGGAGGAUACGAUGAUUAGUAAACACCUCACAAGACACACCAUAUAGAUAAUGCCUCCAAAUUUCAAUGUGUGAACAAUGGCAGCCAACUUCAAAUCAUGAACGUGGUAGUUCUUCUCAUGCUGCUUUAACUGACAUCGAAAUAUGCAAUUACUCUACCCUUUUGCAUCAACACAUACCUAAUACCAACCCUCGAAGCAUCCAAUACACUAUAUAUGAACCUGAAGCUGAUGGCAAAACUAACAUUAGAGUUGUGGUCAAGGCAGUCUUGAGCUGCUGAAAGCUUGCCUCAACUCAUCCGACCACCUAAAUGGAGCACCUUUUGGGUCAAUUUGGCCAAGGGUAAUGCAAUAGAUGAAAAUCCUUGAAUGAACCGAUGGUAAUAACCUGCCAAAUAACAUCUAUUCUAGCUAGGAGUGCAUAAAAAUAGGCCUGACCACCACCUGAUGGAACUUCCUCUCUGGGGCGACCCCUAGAUCACUAGGUGGGUGGUGAAGUAACUGGUGCUGAAGUCGAUGACUGACCCCUCUGCUAAGGCGGACCUCCAUGAAGAUGAGGACGCUACCUCCAUAUAUUUCCCCAACUCUCCACACUCAUAACAACCCGUUAGUGUUGGAUACAGGGACUGAAGGGAACCCCUAGCAUUGGGAUGACAAGCAGAAGAACCUGGCAUGGAAGAGCCCUGAACUGAUGGAGCAGGGGACGAACUCUGGGCUGGAAGAGAACUAAGUGAUGAAUGGACCUGAUAAAAAAUGUGAGAACCAUGUCCCGAUAAUGCCCCACAAUAAACUGGGCAAGCUGAAUGAGCAUGUUUGAAUGGACGACCUAUGUCGUGCUGAACCUGACCCCCAUGAGGAGCACCACUGAAUCCACCCUGGCCAAGAGGCCUAUUGGCCUCCCAUCAACCCUCUCCUAACCAUAAACCAUCUCAAUCUGUCGAGCUAUGUCAACAACCUCAUCAAAAGUGGUACCAAAUACCCCUCUCUCUGGUUAUUGCCACACCUCCUUUUUCCUACACCCUUGGAAGGGGAGAUAAAAGAGUUUUUUCCAACUUAAAGUGACAAUCGAAACAAGAUUAUUGUUAUUUAAAAUUUAGAGUUGCCACUUGGGAUAAUUUAUGGUGUCCCAAGUCACCGGUUUAAAUCCCCAAUCAAGAAAAGAUUGACUCUGGUUUACAGUCCGCGAACACAGAAAUCCAGGUAAGGAAUUCUAUUAACCCGGGAGAAGGUGUUAGGCAUUCCCGAUUUCGUGGUUCUAGCAUGGUCGCUCAACUGUUAUAUUUGGCUUAAUUUUCUUGAUUUUAAUACAUUUUAAACCUGUGUACAAUUUUUAAUUUUAUAACCGAUCUUAUUUAUUUUAAGGAAGAUUGCAACGUUAUUUAAAAUAAGUCUUGAACUAUGGCAUAUAAAUGCACCCGUGGUCCCUGAUAUAUUUUAUCUAAUGUUCCUGAGAUUUGGAUUUGGUAACAUAAAUGCGCACUCAAGUUUAGGAAGGUGAAUUGUUUAACUAAUGUCACACCUCCUUUUUUACACGGCUACCCAAAGGAUGACAUAUAUAAGGGAGUUUUUCCAAUUAAAGCGACAUUAUACUAAUUGAAAUUAAUUAUUAAUUUUUAUUUAGAGUCGCCACUUGGGAUUGUUUAUUUGGUGUCUCAAGUCACCGGUUUAUUAUAAAUCCCAAAUUGAGGAAAAUUCGAUUUUCCUUUUGAAGUCUGUGAACCAGAAAUUCUAGAUAACGAAUUCUAUUAACCCGAGGGAAGGUGUUAGGCACCCCCCGGAUUCCGUGGUUCUAGCACGAUCGCUUAAACUAUCAUAUUUGACUAAUUAUCUGAUUUUUAUACAUGUUCAUCCUAUGAGCAUUUCUAAUAUUAUUUACCGCUUUAUUCGUUUUUAGAGAUAUUUGCAAUGUUAUUAAAACACGGUUCAAACCACGUCACAUAAAUGUACCCGGGUUCUCGAAAUAUUUUAAUAUCGCUUUGGAUUUGGGUCACAUAAAUGUGCACCCGAAUUUAGGAAAGCAGCAUUAGUAAAAUACGCGUCUAAAGCAACUAGCGCAUUGUUAACUUUGCAAAGCCCUUGAAGUUCGCUAAAUGGUACCCCUCAAAUUCUAAGGGUUACAAUUAAUCAAGUGAGGGCCAUGGGCUCAAGGGUUCUAUUUGACAUGGCACGAAAUUAUUACUCAGAGACUAAGAGUAAAGCAAUAUUGUACUAUUUUUUAGUUUCACAAUUUGCUCAUUUUGUCCAUAAAGUAACCGUAGAGAACUUCACAAUCUGAAGAACGAAUACUACAAAUUUAAUUACAACAUGGAUUUUAUAUUUUGACCAGGUUGUACUAAGACAUGGACUUAAAGCAGUGGAAUAAGAAUUGACUAGGAAAAAAAAUCUAACCAAACAAAUACUUCUUUAAGAAAGCUUUGAAUUAUCCAACCAAAAAAUAAGGCUUAGGAGUCCAAACUUACUUGUUGUGGAGCGUUAUAGCCCACUGGAACUGCAAAUACUUCAUUUUAAGAGGAAUAUCCACACACAGCUAUUGAGUAAAAUAGAAGAUCAAAGGAUAAAAAGUUACCAGUAUUGUGACUAUACACGAUCAAUUGAGCAAAUCACUCAUGCUCUGAUGCUCAUACCCUUUUGCAUCAGUUAAACCCCACAACCCAGUACAAUUAUAGCUUUUAACACUUUUUACUAUUUGACAUUCAAUUAAAGGUUCUAAUUCAAACAGAUCUGAAACAAACAAAUUGCAAAUCAUCCACAAAAUACCAAUUAAAGCAUGAACUGCAAGCACAACACAACUAACAGAUGUGAAAAAAAAAUUCUAAAAUAAAGAAAGAGGCAAGAAUGGACCUCAAGGACAAUGUGUUGUAUUUUCUGAAACAAUGUUGCUUCCUACGGACAAAAACCAAAAUCCAAUAUAUUGCAGAAUGAACAACAACUGACAUGAUACUCGAACUACCAAACCAGAACUUGAACGAGAUACCAGCUGACCAGCAAGCUCGAAACCAAAGCGAUCUCCAUCAAACAUCAGUUAGAUUCCAUGGUUUCUGACAUCAAAAAUCAUAAGAAGGAACCAAACUUUAAACAAUAACAACUGAUGAAGUGAAGUCGCCGCCCAAAGCUAUGGAUGAAGCGAUGAGAGCGAGGGUGUACAACUGUUCUCGGCAAGUUUGGGUUGUCGCUGGGUGGUUGGAGAAGGGAUAGUAGCUCUAUGGAUUUAAAAUCGUUGGGUUACUUUUCAACUCCAAUUAUUGCCUCAUCUCUCUUUUUACGGCGGCUAGAUUUUCAAGUUUAUUUUUGUAAUCACUCUAUGAUAUCCUUUUUUUUCUCUACUGAGCCGAGGGUCGAUUGGAAACAGCCUCUCUGUCCGUUCGGGCAGGGGUAAGGCUCGUCUACAUAUUACCCUCCGCUAACCCCACCUGACGGGACUAUACUGGGUAGUUGUUGUUGUUGUUGUCUAUGAUCUCCUUUUUGUUGCUCCAAGUCGGGGGUAGGCGUUUUGUUGAAGAAGAAGAAGAGCGGUGGUUUUUUUACGCGUGAGUCUGUAGCAGGCGUCCUCUCUAGUGAGAAGCUGCGCAGCUGAAGCUUUUCAACGUUUUCCCCCUUUGCUUUGUAUUUUUAUUUUUGUCUUAUAUAGUUUAGGUUUUGUUUGUUUGUUUUUUAAUUAGGGUAAGGGCAAUGGAAUGGGCUUGGGUUAUAUGGACUUGGGUAGAAAGACUAUGGUUUGAGCUUGUUUUGGUUUUAAAAUGCCCAAUUGCUUAAAUUAAAAUCCUAUUUGCAAUUUAAUCCUAAUUAUUUUUUCUUUUCUAUUUAUUUAUUUUUUUAAACAAUCAUAGAAAUUAAAAUUUUAAUUAAUAUUUUCCUUUAGAAGCUAAAAUUCUUUAUGUAUAUAUAUAUAUAUAUAUAUAUAUAUAUAUUUUAAGCUUAACUGUCGAUUUGUAUUGAUAUCAAAAAAUAUACAAUGUAAUCCUAAGGUAGUAGUAUGGACUUCUACUACUCAUUUACACUUUCAUUCUAGUUACACUUGAAUNNNNNNNNNNNNNNNNNNNNNNNNNNNNNNNNNNNNNNNNNNNNNNNNNNNNNNNNNNNNNNNNNNNNNNNNNNNNNNNNNNNNNNNNNNNNNNNNNNNNNNNNNNNNNNNNNNNNNNNNNNNNNNNNNNNNNNNNNNNNNNNNNNNNNNNNNNNNNNNNNNNNNNNNNNNNNNNNNNNNNNNNNNNNNNNNNNNNNNNNNNNNNNNNNNNNNNNNNNNNNNNNNNNNNNNNNNNNNNNNNNNNNNNNNNNNNNNNNNNNNNNNNNNNNNNNNNNNNNNNNNNNNNNNNNNNNNNNNNNNNNNNNNNNNNNNNNNNNNNNNNNNNNNNNNNNNNNNNNNNNNNNNNNNNNNNNNNNNNNNNNNNNNNNNNNNNNNNNNNNNNNNNNNNNNNNNNNNNNNNNNNNNNNNNNNNNNNNNNNNNNNNNNNNNNNNNNNNNNNNNNNNNNNNNNNNNNNNNNNNNNNNNNNNNNNNNNNNNNNNNNNNNNNNNNNNNNNNNNNNNNNNNNNNNNNNNNNNNNNNNNNNNNNNNNNNNNNNNNNNNNNNNNNNNNNNNNNNNNNNNNNNNNNNNNNNNNNNNNNNNNNNNNNNNNNNNNNNNNNNNNNNNNNNNNNNNNNNNNNNNNNNNNNNNNNNNNNNNNNNNNNNNNNNNNNNNNNNNNNNNNNNNNNNNNNNNNNNNNNNNNACAGUGAAUCGAUGUCUAGGUAGAGCAGAUGACACAAGCAUUACAUUCCUCCAUACAAUCUUAGGAAAUAUAGGCAACAGUGCAAUAUAGAGUUUUUAACAACUACAUAACUUCAAACUAAAGAAAAAUGCUAAUUUUAAAGACUAAAAGACAAAUACGUAAAAAUGACCAUUUUAAGGUUUUUUUUUUUAUGAUUUAAAAAUAUUAAAAACACAUGCAAUGCAAAUAAACAAAGAAAAAUUCCUAAAAUUAAUAAAAAUUAAUUUUUGGUCUAUUUUUUAGGAGUUAUUCUUAUGUAGGGCAAAAAUCAUGUGCUCACAGCAGCCCCUCUUUGCUCGGAAACACGAAUAGUUUUCGUGCAAAGAUAAAGUGAGCAUAUACGAGCAAUUGUUUGCCCGUUUGAAACUUCAUGAGAAGUAUUUUUAAAAGAUUUGACCGCACUCUGCUUCUGAGGUUGCCUACAUAUCCUUGGUUAUAAAGGAAUCAGGUCAGUGUAGUUUGGGAAGUGAGGUGAUGGAGUACUGAGGUUGAGAUCGGUCGAGGUGCCAUCGAGGUUCCGGUCCGCGGUCCCGUUUAUUGCAUCAAAAUCUAAAUUAAAAAGACUAACUAAGCCUAUAAGCUACGAGUUACAAGAUUCCUAUCUAUAAAUCUUUUGAAACUUGAUCUUGAGUCUUGGCUAGGUCUUGUUGCAGACUCUAAUCUAAAUCUUAAUGCUUGUCAGCUGCAUAUGCUGGUUCUUUCUUCAGCAUUUGGAUCAAAGAGGGACAUGCGAAACUUUUGACUUUGAAUCAAAUUUGAGCAGUCUGCAUUUUCUUCUUCGAACAUCCUGAGUUCGGUUCUUUUUGCUCUUUUGUUAUUUUCCUUUAUUCUGUAUUGAGACUCACGCUUCUGGUCAUCUCGAACCCUGUGCCAUGAGGUAAAACCUGCUCAGACACCAAAAAUAAACAAACGAACGAAAUUUUAUGCCCCAAUUUUUACUAGGAAAAUUUCGUGAGUUAUUUGUAACACAAAUCUAAGCUAUUUCUUUAUUGAAAAAAAUAAAAAUCGGGAUUCUAUAUCCUUUGGAAAGAUUGCCAGGUUAUGUUGGGAAGGAGAAAAGGUCCCUGCUGGGGGUAAGAGGAGCAUCCAUGGGUUAUGCCGGGAUGGGAAUGAAGGGUCCCUACUGGGGAUGAAAGGAAAAAGACACGGGUUAUGUCGGGAUGAAAUGAAAAAAGAUUCCUAGGUUCUGCUAGGGAGAUCCGCGGGUUAUGCCGGGAUGAAUGAAAAAAGUUUCUGGGUUAUGCCAGGGGUCCAUGGGUUAUGCCGGGAGAAGAAGGCUCCUCGGUUAUGCUAAGGGGAUCUGCGAGUUAUGCCGGGAUAGGAAGAAAAAUGGUCUACUAAGGAUAAAAAAAAAAUGAUCCUUGGGUUAUGCCAAGGGGAAGAAAAUAAAAAUACACUCAGGUUAUGCUGGAGAUAAAUGGAAAAUAACCCUCAGGUUAUGCCGUACGGGAAAGAAAAGACCCUCAGGUUAUGCUGGGAGGAAAAGAAAAGACCCUCGGAUGCUAGGGAGAAAAAGGAAAGAUGAUCCUCGGGUUAUGCCGAGGAGGUCCACGGGUUAUACCGGGAUAAAAGGGAAAAGGUCCUAUGCUACCAUGAUUUUGGGUUUUUUUUGAAUUAUCCUAGGGGAAAAUUCGUCAGACUAGGUUUUCUAUCUUAGGAGAAAAAAUUCAUCAGACAAAGAUUUUGACCCUAGGAGAAAGUUCAUCAGACUAGGUCUUUCUUUCUUCUUUUGUUUUUGGUAUCUUAGGAGAAAGAUUUAUCAGACUAAGAUUCUGACCCUAGGAGAAAGUUCAUCAGACUAGGUCUUCUAUCUUAGGACAAAUAUUCAUCAGACUAAGAUUUUGGUCUUAGGAGAAAGUUCAUCAGACUAGGUCACUUUUUUUAUAUAUCUUAGGAGAAAGAUUUAUCAGACUAAAAUUUUGAUCCUAGGAGAAAGAUUCAUCAGACUAGGUCUUCUAUCUUAGGAGAAAAAUUCACUAGACUAAGAUUUUGAUCCUAGGAGAAAGCUCAUCAGACUAGGUCUUCUAUCUUAGGAGAAAAAUUCAUCUGACUAAGAUAUUGAUCCUAGGAGAAUGUUCAUCAGACGAGGUCACUCUUUUGGUAUCAUAGCAGAAAGAUUCAUCAGACUAAGAUUUUGAUCUUAGGAGAAAGUUCAUCAGACUAGGUCUUCUAUCUUAGGAGAAAAAUUCAUUAGACUAAAAUUUUGAUCCUAGGAGAAAGCUCAUCAGACUAGGUCUUCUAUCUUAGGAGAAAAAUUUAUCAGACUAAAAUUUUGAUCAUAGGAGAAUGUUCAUCAAACUAGGUCACUCUUUUGGUAUUUUGGGAGAAAGAUUCAUCAGACUAACAUUUUGAUCCUAGGAGAAAGUUCAUCAGACUAGGUCUUCUAUCUUAGGAUAAAAUUCAUCAGACUAAGAUUUUGAUCCUAGAAGAAAGUUCAUCAGGCUACGUCAUUUUCGGUAUCUUAGAGAAAGAUUCGUCAGACUAAGAUUUUGAAUGGGAGAAAAAUCCAUCAGACUAGGACUUUUUAUCCUAGGAGAAAAAAUAAUGUGAAGAUCAAUGGCAAGAUUUUAUGCCCAUGCAGACAAAUAUAUACCAAGAAUUGAGAAACUUACCUUUGUCGGCUCUACUCUUCUUGUUUUUUUCUUCUCUUUUUUGUUGUUUUUGUUCGUUUUGUUUUUUAUCUUUCUUUCUUCUUUGUUUGUGAACCACUUUCCUUGCGCUGCUUUGUUGCUGCUGCAAACAAAGAACACUUUGUCAGUUUUGAAAAUGGUGGUCGGUUUGUGGCCUUGAGUCUUGAGCAGCUUGGCUUUUGCUUGAUCAGCCUGAGUCGGUCUUAAAAGACCUUUGUUCUACACCAACUCUGAUUGUUUCGCACCCAGUACCAUUUUGUAUUUGAGGCUCAAUCAACCCUGUCGCGAUUGGAGAUCUUAGCUCAGGUGACCUUUUCUGAUAUCUUCAAAAACUUUCUGCUUUUUGAGCAAUUUGUCUGUUAGAGAGAAUCACAAGUUAUCUUUGCUUGCGCCAAGCAGGCUGACAAGAGUCUUUUUGGAAAGCCUUUUCAAAAAUCCUCAAGGUAUGUUGACAGUAACAACUGAGUGCGCUGGCAAAAUUUAAUUUGUGCAACUGAAAAGAUGGUAGCAGAUUUUGAAAUCAUUUCUUGCUCAUUUUGACAAGGGUGGACUUAAAGUGAAGGACACAAUUAUGAAAAGAAACGAAUAUUAAAAAGAAAUUCCCCCUGUCGUCUUUUGAGGAAGCCCUUGCAUGAACCCUCAAGGCAUGCUGACAAUAACAACUGAGUAGUUGGCCAAAUUUACUUUGUGCAACUGAAAACCUGGUAGCAUAUUUUGAAAUAUUUUCUUACUUGUUUUGAUGAGGACAGACUCAGAGUGAAGGACAUAAUGAUGCAAAGAAACGAAUAUUGACAAGAAAUGCCCCCUGUCGAAAGGACAAAAAGAAGCUUUUUUUUUAUUUUUUUCCUUCUUUUUUUUUUCCAUCAUUCUUUUCAAUAACUAGCCUUAAUGAUCAUGACAUACAUUUUGGACUUAACGGCCUGAUCUAUCCAACUAAUCCAAUCUUCCCGUUUACCAUUUUUAUGACCUUUGAAGUCGGGCUUGUUCGUGCCAAUCCUUGCAUCAGUUUCAUGACUUACUUUCGACUAGUGGUGCCCCGAGGAGUUUUCACCAACAAGACUUUCUCAUUUAUUUAUCUCUUCUUAUUGUUGCUUUACAGUGCCCAUGAGGGUUUUCACUAGUAAGACUCUCUUAUUUAUUUUUUUCUUUUUCCUGUGCUUUUUCUUUUUCUUUCCGCUUUUUUUUUUUGGAGAGCAACUUGAUAGUGUUCUAUGUCGCGUGACAUACGUUGCUCAUUGCCUGCGUUUCUUGGCAUUCUUGAAAGCUGAUCAUGAGGUAUUUAUUUGGAAGGUUUUUGGAUGUGGGUAGGAAGAAAGGGUCGGCAUGACGACUCAAAGUUGACUUAAAGUGAAGGGUUGUAGACUUACAACUUUUGGAAUCGUCUCAUCAAAAGUGAAAUAAAUUUUUUUUGCCCCACUUUUAACCAUUGGUGUUUUUGGAACAUUUCUCUCUUUUUUUUUUGUGAAUUCUUAUUUGGUUGGAUCGAAUUGUGAGGCUGCCUACGUAUCCUUUUUUUAAAGGAAUCAGGACUAACGUAGUUCAAACAUCCAACUUAAAGUAUAUUUCAUCUUUCUUUCCGCUUCUCUUUUCAUUUUUCUUUUUCUUUUUUUUUCUUUUUCUUUUUUGAUUUUUUAUUUUUAUUUUUAUUUUUAUUUUUUGCUUGCCCCAGCUUCUUUGUUUUGAGGGCAUGGACCUUUGAUAAUUCUUUCUUUUUGUUUUUCGCUUGGAACCUUCUAAAAGCUGCCCCAGUUUAUACUCUUGGGACAUGGACUUUCUUUCUUUUUUUUUCGUUUCUUUUCAUCUUUUUUUGACUCUUGACUCUAAACGUGAUUCCAAACGAGGGUGAUCAAAGAAAAUAAUACCGGAUUAAAAGGGGUUGCAAAGGAUAUGAAGUGUUUGGAUAACAGAAAAAGGGCCUCCUAGCCUCGACACUGCCAAUCAUAUUAUCUUUCACGACCGCAGCAUUGGUGAACAUGUUUAAUGUCUUGGUGUGUUGUGGCCGAAAGACACUUUUCAUCCCUUAAUGUCAAACUUUCCAAUAAACAUCAAUUGAUUAAAUAUUCUCAAGCCCGAUCUUCACAAUGAAUUGAAGGUGAAUUUUGCUCGACCUUAAUUCCCAAGUAUUUCAAGUCUUUAUUCAUCCUCAAAAGUGCUUCUUUUUUUUUCAGUUAUCCAAUUCCAGAUUAAAUGAGUUUCUAAGAUCUGGCCAAAAUUUCCGGAUGCAUUUCAUGUUAUUAAAACUAGCGCGAAAUAACUAAGAACGGAAUGCCACAAACUUCUCUUUUUUUCAGUUAUCCAAUUCCAAGUUAAAUCAGUUUCUAAGAUCUGGCCAAAAUUUCAGGAUGCAUGUCAUGUUAUUAGAACUAGCGCGGAAAGAACUAAGAACAAAAUGACACAAAAGGACAAACUGAAUUUUAUUGAAUAAGGAUGGAAUGGUAACGACUAAACAAGAAACCUAAGAUGAUCCGAGUUACAACCCUAAAAUAACCCGGAUAAUGAAAAUAGCAAUAAAAUAGACAGACAUGACUCAUACAAAUAAAAUAGAAGGAUAGAAGGGUCUGACUCAAUAAAGAAAAUAAAAUCUAGAUCAGAACCCUGAAAUAACCCAGAUAACAGAAAAACAUCAAAACAAGCUACCAAGAUUACCUCCUAAGACAUGAGGGAAUGACUUUUCAAUUGCUAAGCUUGACAUUGAGCCACAAAUUUGCUCAACGGAAUCACCAUGGCCUCCUCCAAUUUCAGACGGCAGGUUCUCGAGAGGAUUAUCAUACUCGAUGACACCAGACAUCAUCCUCACAAAGUAUGCAUCAUCAUGUGCAGGUAAAGGAUUCUGCAUGAUAUUCUGGGUGUCAUUGUCUUGAAUCACAAUCAGUUUUUCCUGGAUCAUCCUCUCUAUUUCUCUUUUCAAAUCCCGACAAAUUUCAACAUCGUGCCCCAGGGCAUCAGAAUGGUAUUCACACCUUUUAGAAGGGUCAAAGCUUCUUGCACGUGGGUCCACAUGAUUUUGAGAAAUGGGUGCAAUCAUGCCAUAAUGCUUUAGCUUCUCAAAUAAGCUUGCAUAAGACUCUCCUAUUGGUGUAAAAUUAUCCUUCAACCUUUGUUCCCUUCUAUGCCCCUGGGUUGGAUAGUGCAAUCAUGCCAUAAUGCUUUAACUUCUCAAAUAAGCUUGCAUAUGACUCUUCUAUUGGUGUAAAAUUAUAUUUCAACUUUUGUUCCCUUCUAUACCCCUGGCAUGGAUGUGGGUUAUAAGGCAUUUGAAAAUUUUGUGGAGGCUGGUGGAGAUAUUUUGAUCCUCGUGCUCGACUUCUUGGGUGAUUUGGUGCCUAGACAACAUACUGAGGUGGAUCAACAAGGUAUGGUGGGUUCUGAGGUGGAUAGUAAUGCUCAGGGGAGUCAUCGAAAACCUGAUGAGGCUACGCAUACCUUCGAGGUGUUCUCAUGGAACCUCUUCUCGACCCUGUUGUCAUCAUGAUUUCUUCAUCCGUCUCAUUUAUGUCACUUUUAUUCUUUUAUUCUUUUUUGACUUUUUUUCUUUUCUUUUUCUUUUUCAUUUUUUGACUCUUGACUCUAAACUUGAUUCCAAAAGAGGGUGGUCAAAGAAAAUAAUAUAUGUUCAAAGUGGUGACGAAUGGCAUAAAGUGUUUAGGUAGCAGAAAAAGGGCCUCCCAACCUUGAGAACGCCAAACAUAGUAUCUUUUUGCGAUCACAACAUUGAGGAACAUGUCUGUCAUCUUGGUGUGUUGCGGUCAAAAGACACUUUCCAUCCCUUAAUGUCAAACUUUCCAAUAGAUUUCAAUUGAUUAAACAUUCUCAAGCUCGAUCUUCAAAAUGAUUUGAAGGUGGAUUUUACUCGACCUUAAUUCUAAAGUAUUUUAACUCUUUAUUCAUCCUCAAAAGUGUUUUUUGUCUUUUCUUUUUCUGUUAUCCAAUUCCAGAUUAAAUAAGUUUCUACGAUCUUGCCAAAAUUUCCGCAUGCAUGUCAUGUCAUUAGAACUAGCAACAAAAGAACUAGGAAUAGAAUGACACGAAAGGAAAAACUGUAUUUUAUUGAAUAAAGAUGGAAGGUUUGACAAUUAAACAAGAAACCUAAAAUCCGAGUUACAAACCUAAAAUAAACCGAAUAAUAAAAAUAGCAACAAAACAGUCAAACAUGACUCCUACAAACAGAAUAGAAUGACAGAAGGGUUUGACUCAAUAAAAAAAAUAAAAUCUGGAUCACAACCCUGAAAUAACCUAGAUAGAAGAAAAAACAUCAAAACAAGCUAGCUUGAUUCCUUCCUGUAAAGAGAGAAUGACUUUUCAAUUUUUAAGCUUGACAUUUCACCACAAAUUUGCUCAUCAAAAUCACCAUGGCAUUCUCCCAUUUCAGCCGGCAAAUUCCCGAGAGGAUUCUCAUACUCCAUGUCACUACUCAUCACCCUUACAAAGUGUGCAUCAUCAUGUGCAGGUAAAGUACUCUGUGCGAUACUCUGGGUGUCACUGUUUUGGAUCAUAAUCAGGUUUUCUUGGAUCAUCCUUUCUAUUUCUCUUUUCAAAUCCCGAUAAUUUUCAAUAUUGUGCCCCUACGCAUUGGAAUGGUAUUCACACCUUUUGGAAAGGUCAAAGCUUCUUUCAAACAAGCUCGCAUAGGACUCUCCUAUUGGUGUAAAAUUAUCUUUCAACUUUUGUUCCCCUUUAUACCUCUGGCUUGGAUGUGGGUAAUAGGGCAAUUGAAGAUUUUGUGGAGGAUGGAGGAGAUUUUGUUGUACUCGCGCUCGCCUUCUGGGAUGUUAUGGUGGUCAGGCAUCAUAUUGAGGUGCAACAACAGAGUAUUGAGGGUUCUGAGGUGGAUAAUAUUGCUUAGGGGAGUCAUGAAAAACCUGAAGAGGCUGAUCAUAUCUUCGAGAUGUUCUCCUGGGAUCUAUUCUCGACCCUGAUGUCAUCAUGAUUUCUUCAACCUUCUCAUUCGAGUCACCAAAAUUACCAAAAUUAUCUGAUUCAAUCUAGUCAACCUGAGUUGUGGCUUUGAGAACUAGUUGACUUAUAAUUUUGCCUGUCUUAAGACCAUUCUCAACCAUUUCCCCCAUUUCGAGAAGGAUUUACCCACAGCGGAUAUCAUGUUUUGAAAAUAAUCCAGCUCUUGAGCCUGAGGAAAGACAGUGAUUAGCUCGUGGUCAUCCAUGGGUGGCUUAGAUCUAGCUUCUUGCUCUCUCUAUUUAAUAGCGUAUUCCCUGAAACUUUCACUUUGGUUUCUUCUUCAGGUUUGAAAGGGAAUUUCAGUUUGGGGCAAUGUCCAUGUCGUAUUGAAACUGUUUGACAAAGGCCUGCACCAUGCUAUCCUAGACGUACCAGCGAGAUGUGUCCUGAUCCAGAAACUAUUCAGAUAAUACUCCCGUAAGGCUUUCCCCAAAAUAAGUUAUUAGCAAUUCUUCAUUUCUUUCCACACCUCUCAGUUGAUUGCAAUACCUUUUUAGGUGGGACUAUGGGGUCUCCAUGUCUAUCAUACUUUUCAAAUUUGGGAGUCUUGAAACCAGGCGGCAAGUGGACAUCGGGGAACAUACAUAGAUGUUUGAAGGCAACACUAUUUUGACCUGCCAACCCUUACAUGUUUUCAACCGUUGUUCUAAGAUUUUCACUCUUUGGGUCAUUUCUCUAUAUUUCAUCUUUCGGGCAGGCUUCUCGAUGUUUGCAAGAAGAUCAAACGAGUACGAGUGAUAUUCAGGAGAGUGGUACUGCUCUUGCUGUGUUGCAAAUUGUGACUCAUGACAAGGUUCUCUUUGGCCAUUGGCCCAUGAUUGACACAUUUUGGUCAUUUGCUGUUUCAGUAUUCUAUUUUCCUCAACCAUAGUAGACUCUUGUCGAACCCUCUGACCGUGAGUCUCUUGAGCAAUUGUAACAGUCUUGAUGUCAAUUAUCAUUUUUUGUUGUAUCUUGUGUUUCAGCUUACCACAAACCAACCACCUCAAACUUUCUUCACAAUUCAAAACAAAAGAUAUGUUAGAAUGGACUCAGUCAUCCUUACUAUUAUCAAUAAUUUUUUUCCUUUUCUUCAUUUUUUCAUUUUUUUGUUUGGUUGAUCGAAUCUGAUAUGGGUUUCCUACGUGUCAUAUGGGAACAUGAAUCCGAUAUUGCGUAGUUCAGGAAGAUUAGGAAUAAAGGAAAUAAACUAAAUUUAUGUUUUUCUGGAUUUGGAAUUUUCUCUUCUAUUUUUUACUUUUUUUUUCAAAAGAAAGACUUAUAAAGAAGAUAGAGCAUAUUUUUGGAUUUUGAUUUUUCUUCAGUAAUUGCAAAGAAAGACUUCUAAAGAAGAUAUAUUUUUUUUUGAAUUUCGACUUUUUAUUGUUUUUUUUUUAAUUUCGAUAGAAAAAUUUCUAAAGAAGAAGGAAAGAUAUUUUUGCCUUUAUGGAUUUUUAUUCUGAAGUUAGGAAAGAAGUUCUUCGAAAGAAAAAGAAAGUAUUUUUAAAUCAUGAAUUUUCUUUUCAAUUUUCCGAAGAAGAAUAAAAAUAUGUUUUUGCAUUUUUUGAUUUUGAGAAGCAACUAAAAGAAAAAAAAUUUGAAUUUUUUUUUAAAAACUAGAAUCUUAAAGAAAAAUUUUUCUAAAGAAGGAAGUAAAAGAAUUUUUUUGGAUUUUUAAAAAUUGGGGCCGGAACCGAUGAGGUUUGCUUACGUAUCUCACAUCCGGUAAGAAUAAGAUCCGCGUAGUUCUGCCAGUUUUAACGGAACAGGAAAACAUGACACUUGAAAAUUUUGGUUCAUUUUGAAAUGACUUUUUUUUCCAGAUUUGGCAGAGUUUCAACAUAUUUCAAAUACCUACAUCUACUCUUUUCUUUUCUUUUUUCUCUUUUUUUUAAUUUUUUUUUAUUUUCUUUCCCUAUUCUAAUCAACAUGUAAGCCUGAACAGAUAGAUACACAAGUAGCACAUAAGAUGCAUCAGGAUGGUCUUUUAAUUUGGGUACACAUGUCCUAGACGGACCUAACCCAUGUGUUGAGUCCCCAAAGUCAAAUGUACGUGAUGCAAACAAACGUUCCUACAAGGAAUCCGGCAUGAGUCUGAGUUAUUCUAAGUAUAAAACCUGGGUAUACUGCUCUAGACUUGUGCACCCGAGCGGACAACUCGAGCCGAGGAGGGGGCUAUGUACCGGGAACCAAAAGGCUAUCCGGCUUAGUAACUUUUCUGAGCCUCUUUCUUAUUUCAAGUUAUGACACUAACAGAAUAAGGAGUCUCGACCAGCAAGCACAUCCCCAAAGAUGAGAAGAGAAGGAUUUCGUAGCAUUUUAUAUAUAGUUCAGAUAACAUUAAGGCGGUAAAAGCAUCAUUUAGCACAUCAGGCUCAAACAUGUAGGAAAAUCAUAUAAUAAAUAAAGCCAAUCAUAACAGCUAUUCUAAGCUCAAAUUCUUAAACUCUGAAUCGAAGUUUAGGGUUUGGAUCCCCAGCAGAGUCACUAGAGCUGUCACACCUCCUUUUUUCUACACCCUAGAAGGGGAGAUAAAGGAGUUUAUUCCAAUUUAAAGUGACAAAAAACAGAAUUAUUUUAUUUAAAAUUCAGAGUUGCCACUUGGAUAAUUUAUGGUUUCCCUGUCACCGGUAUAAAUCCCGAAUCGAAAAAAGAUUGACUUUGUUUUAUAGUCCGCGAACAUAGAAAUUUGGGUAAAGAAUUCUGUUAAGCGGUAGAAGGUGUUAGGCAUUCCCGGAUUCCGUGGUUCUAGCACGGUCCCUCAACUGUUAUAUUUGGCUUAAUUACCUUGAUUUUAAUACAUUUUAAACCUAUGUAAAAUUUUUAACUUUAUAACCGCUUUUAUUUAUUUUAAGGAAGAUUGCAACGUCAUUUAAAAUACGUUUUGAACCACGUCACAUAAAUGCACCCGCGGUCCCCGACAUAUUUUAUCUAACGUUGUUGAGAUUUGGAUUUGGAUCACAUAAAUGUGCACCCGAGUUUAGGAAGGUGAAUUGUUUAACUAAUGCGCCUAAAGCAAUUACGCGUUUUUUUUAAUUUUGUGAAGGCCAUGGAAGAUUCAACUAAAUGGCACAUCUCGAUUUCUAAAGGAUUAAAAUUAAUUAAACGAGGGCCAUGGGUUUUGAUAUUUUGUUUGGCAUGGUGCUCCUUAAAUUAUUUCAAAGGAUUUGAUUCUUCGAAAUUAUUAUGAUCGGGUUACAUAAAAUGCACCCCCGAAUUGGAUUCACGUAUCGUAACCAUGCCACGGAAACUGUACCCAUGACCAUGAUAAUUGAUUGAAUUAUACUAAUGAAAUAUAAAUAAGGAGUAGUUACAUAUAAUCAGAAUCAUGUCAUUGCUAACGAUUAUUGAAAUACUAAUGACAUCUAAUAAAAAGUAGUUUACAUAUAAUCAAAUCUCAUAGUUGUCCAGACAUGUUCGAAUAGAUUCAUUUAUACUAAUGACAUCUAAAUACAAAUGAUUUACAACCAGAAAGAAAUAGGCACGAAGAGAAAUCGAGGGAUUAAUUGCUGGCCCUCACAAUUUUGGAAUUGAAAAAUACUUGAUUCACAAUGGCGGAUACAUGUUGUCACAUGGGUUCUUAGCUUUUGAAAACAAGAUUACUACUUAUAUAUAACACACAAAAAGCCAAUUUAAUCAAGAUCUUAUCAGAUUUAUAUUAAGGUUUAAAUUUACACAAAAUACAAAGAUAGCAUUGUUCUACGUAGAACACAAUGGCAGGCCCAAGUAUACUAUCACAUUUAUAGCUUAUGAAUAAACCUCAACUUCAACAACAAUUGUAUUAAACAAUUAGUUUUUCCCUUCUCUUAGCUUCAAAGAUCAACAGCAUAGAGACGUUUGAAAAAACUUAAACAAAAAAAUGCUAGAUCUAUAAAAAAACAAUACAACAACUUACAUCUCAUUCAUGAUUUCUAUUUAAGACAAAGGGUAUAAGUGGACAUACCUAAACAGCAACAAAUAAAUCCUCAAUCUGAAAAGAAGAUGAUGAAACCCAGCUACAAAUGAAGCAAAAUUAGCAGGAGAAACAGCAACAGUCCUCAACUCAGCUUUUGAACGAACUAUUCUCGAAAUGACCUCAACUCGACCAAAUGCAAUCCAUUUUUGUAAAAGAAAAUCAAACAUCAAGAUGAACGAUGAAGAACAAAGAUAUCUUUGUCCCUAUAUUUCGUUUGAAACUUAAAUAAAAUUGGAGCGGCAGAUCGAAGCUUCUUUUUAUUUUCCUAAGAGAGGGAUCAGGUGGGGCUGUUGGUUGUUGAGGUUUCCUAGAGGGGAAAGGUUCUGUUCUUCUUUUGCGAUUUUUGACCGAGAAGAAGAUGGGAGCGCCCCCUUUUUUUUGUUCUUCAGAGAAGGGGAGGGUCUAUCUUAUUCUCCUUUUUUUUUCUCUAGGCCUAAAUCUAGGUUUUAAUAUAAAG
rnacentral:lncRNA from 1 species